rnacentral:lncRNA from 1 species
GCAGAUUUAGUCCCUAAAGAAGGAGGAAGUGUAUUUAAGAUAGAAGUAUCUCCAUUGAAAUUUAGGUUGGAAAAAUAAGUUGUGCAACAGUCACUUUAUGAGCUAAGAUUUUUAUUUUUAUUCUGAAUAUCCAGAAAUUUUCCAGUGAAGGCUUAACUUGAAACUGACAAGCACAGUAACACAUUUUGUUUUAGAAAAGUAACAUUUAAAAAAAAUUUGUAAGGAUCCAAAGAGACUACAAUGCAGCAGCCCUUGUCAGUAUCAGCUGCGAUUUUCUAGCUGCACUGAUUUGUCUAUGUAUUGCUCAGUUGUGUGAAUGUAUUUACAACACAUGCCAUGCCUUUUGUUUCUUAGGAGCAACUCAGGUUUUUUAAAGGAGGAGAAUGUCCACAUACAAAUCACGAUUGUCAUAAAGCUGUGACACUUUGGAGUUGCUGGUAAGAGAUCGAUCUUCUUUUCUUGGUGCCAGAAACAUGACAUGGGUCGGGGUUAUGAAAG